CAAUAGCGUAUAUUUAAGUUGUUGCAGUUAAAAAGCUCGUAGUUGGAUUUCGGUUAAGAGCGACCGGUCCGCCGCUUGGUGUGCACUGGUUGGUUUUAACUUCCUGUAGAGGACGUGCUCUGGGUUUAACGACCUGGACUCGGAGUCUACGUGGUUACUUUGAAAAAAUUAGAGUGUUCAAAGCGGGCUUACGCUUGAAUAUUUCAGCAUGGAAUAACACUAUAGGACUCCUGUCCUAUUUCGUUGGUCUCGGGACGGGAGUAAUGAUUAAGAGGAACAGUUGGGGGCAUUCGUAUUUCAUUGUCAGAGGUGAAAUUCUUGGAUUUAUGAAAGACGAACUUCUGCGAAAGCAUUUGCCAAGGAUGUUUUCAUUA
rnacentral:rRNA from 1 species